rnacentral:rRNA from 1 species
CCAUGNGUAGCGGUGAAAUGCGUAGAUAUAUGGAGGAACACCNGUGGCGAAAGCGGCUCUCUGGUCUGUCACNGACGCUGAGGCUCGAGAGCGUGGGUAGCGANCAGGAUUAGAUACCCUGGUAGUCCACGCCGUAAACGAUGAGUGCUAGGUGUUAGGCCCUUUCCGGGGCUUAGUGCCGGAGCUAACGCAAUAAGCACUCCGCCUGGGGAGUACGACCGCAAGGUUGAAACUCAAAGGAAUUGACGGGGGCCCGCACAAGCGGUGGAGCAUGUGGUUUAAUUCGAAGCAACGCGAAGANCCUUACCAGGUCUUGACAUCCCGAUGCUAUUCUUAGAGAUAGGAAGUUACUUCGGUACAUCGGAGACAGGUGGUGCAUGGUUGUCGUCAGCUCGUGUCGUGAGAUGUUGGGUUAAGUCCCGCAACGAGCGCAACCCUUAUUGUUAGUUGCCAUCAUUAAGUUGGGCACUCUAGCGAGACUGCCGGUAAUAAACCGGAGGAAGGUGGGGAUGACGUCAAAUCAUCAUGCCCCUUAUGACCUGGGCUACACACGUGCUACAAUGGUCGGUACAACGAGUUGCGAGCCGGUGACGGCAAGCUAAUCUCUGAAAGUCGAUCUCAGUUCGGAUUGGAGGCUGCAACUCGCCUCCAUGAAGUCGGAAUCGCUAGUAAUCGCGGAUCAGCACGCCGCGGUGAAUACGUUCCCGGGCCUUGUACACACCGCCCGUCACACCACGAGAGUUUGUAACACC